rnacentral:rRNA from 1 species
AUUGAACGCUGGCGGCAGGCCUAACACAUGCAAGUCGAGCGGAUGAAGGGAGCUUGCUCCUGGAUUCAGCGGCGGACGGGUGAGUAAUGCCUAGGAAUCUGCCUGGUCGUGGGGGAUAACGUCCGGAAACGGGCGCUAAUACCGCAUCCGUUCUGAGGGAGAAAGUGGGGGAUCUUCGGACCUCACGCUAUCUGAUGAGCCUAGGUCGGAUUAGCUAGUUGGUGGGGUAAAGGCCUACCAAGGCGACGAUCCGUAACUGGUCUGAGAGGAUGAUCAGCCACACUGGAACUGAGACACGGUCCAGACUCCUACGGGAGGCAGCAGUGGGGAAUAUUCGGCAAUGGGCGAAAGCCUGACGCAGCCAUGCCGCGUGUGUGAAGAAGGUCUUCGGAUUGUAAAGCUCUGUAAGUUGGGAGGAAGAGAAGUAAGUUUAUAUCUUGCUGUCUUGACGUUACCAAAACAAUAAGCACCGGCUAACUUCGUG